ensembl:lncRNA
GGAUAUGUUGAGCAAAGCUGGAGAAGCUUCAGCUUAAGAGAUCAUUGUUGGCAUUGCUGUGAUUCUUUAUGUGAUUCACUGACUUGGUGAGUAAAGUGUUACUCUUAUUCAAACUGGUUUUGUGCCUUCUCUCAGAUUAGCACCAGGUUUAUAAACUUGCUAGCUAGCUAGUGUUAGACUGGUGUUGCCUCUCGGCUCAUGGUGCUUAAAUUAACCCACAGCUUAAAAAACCUUAUAUAAAAUCUCUCAGUGAAAUUUUCUGUUGAUUGUUUGAAAUAGAAAAGUGAGCAGCUACUAGAUAAGAGCCGAGACGAAACUUUUUCUGAAGGUGCAGCCGUUAGGGGUGGGGCUUGUUUUAAUCCACUUUUAUAACAUGGACUGUACAUUCUUAACCUCUGUAUUUAUUUUAAUUUUUUAUGGUUGUUUUUGGACAUCUGUGACAUCUAUUAAUGUUAAAUCUAGUCUUUCUUUAGCGACAUAAGCAAACUGUUUUUACAUUUAAUGAACAUUUCUGUUUUAUCCAUCCAUCCAUCUUCUUCUGGUUAUCCAGGGCUGGGUCAUGGGGAAAGCAGCCUAGGCAGAGAAGCCCAGGCCUCCCUCUCCUCAGCCACCUCCUCUAGCUUGUCCGGAGGAACACCAAGGCAUUCCCAAGCCAGCCAGCUGAGAGAUGUAAUCUCUCCAGCGUGUCCUGGGUCUGCUCCUGGCUCUACUCUGAGCCCCUCCCGUAUGGCCGAACGUCUCACCCUAUGUAAUGAUGACAUUUCAAUUAUGUGUUUUAAAAAGAGACCACCUAUUUCUUUGAGGCUCUGAAUCAGCACUCCACACAUCACAUCAAACUCUUACAAGUCUAGAAGAGCAGCUGUUGGACAGAAAGACAUCAGCUGAGUGGGAAGGAUUUUGGUUAGUUUACUUCCCACAAUAUGUUAGUAGCUGUCACAUUUAUGUUAAUCAGGCUGAACUUUAAUCAUACUUUAGAUCAAACUGCUUUACUUGCUGUUUCCUUUGUGCUUUGGUUUCCUGUCUUCUAUUAUUAGACCUGAGAUGUGACUGCUCUGUGCUGUUGCUGAUGACUCCAGUUAAUCCUACAAGACAUGCUGUAUCAUCAGAAUGAAAGUUAUUGGCCAUGUUUGCAGAGCCCUUUUUAAAAAUAUGCUUUCAUGACAUUAUUGUGUAUCGGCUGGCUAUCCAGACUGACAAGUGGGACAGUGAAUGUCACCUCUCCAGUGGGGAGGGAGUCUGAGAUUGAGAGUGUAAACUGAGGACACCAGGAGAGAGGAGUCGUUCAUCACAGAAGGUGUGGUCAGUGAAGAUGGUCACCGGCAGGUCGAAGGUCAUUGCAUCUCCAGCCCACAUCCACUGACACUGUACUGAAGGGAUGUUAAGACUUUCUUCUGCACUUACACUCUAAAAACUAAAACUGAGAUUUACUUAAAAAUUUUGAAGCAAUUUCUUUAGAGGCGGAGAAGGCCUUUGACAGGGUCGAGUGGGAUUAUCUCUUCUCGACCCUGUCGAGGUUCGGAUUUGGCCCUAAAUUCAUUUCUCUGGUUAAACUACUAUACAUCCAACCAAAAGUGUCGGUACAAACAAACAAUGUCCACUCCGACUAUUUCGAUCUGAAUCGUUCAACAAGACAAGGCUGUCCUCUUUCACCUCUGCUUUUUGCAUUGGCUAUUGAACCUUUAGCUCUUCUACUGCGCUCAACAGACGAAUAUACAGGGAUCAGAAGGGGAAAAGCAGAACAUAAAGUCUCGCUUUAUGCAGAUGAUUUACUACUGUAUAUUUCUAACCCUGCAAAAUCAGUCCCAGUCAUCAUGGAAAUUUUGCAGAAUUUUGGAGAAGUGUCAGGAUACAAAUUGAAUUUAUCUAAAAGUGUGCUAUUCCCAGUCAACUCUAAAGCAAUAGGUAACCCAAGUUGUUUCAGUACCUUGCCAUUUUGGGUUUCUAAACAAUUCCAAUAUCUUGGAAUAAAUGUCACUCAGGAUUAUUGUGGUUUAUUUAAACACAAUCUCUCUAAACUAUAUGAUGAAACCAAAAAUAACAUAGACAAAUGGAUUAAUCUACCAAUUCCACUAGCAGGGAGGAUAAACAUUGUUAGAAUGAAUAUUCUUCCCAAAUUCUUAUUUUUAUUUCAGUGUAUCCCUAUUGUGAUUAAUAAAGCCUUUUUUAAUAAAUUAGACUCCUUAAUAUCCUAUUUCAUAUGGAACAGAAAGAAUCCAAGGAUCAAGAAAGGCUACCUGCAGAGACCGACAUGUCAGGGAGGGAUGGGGUUACCAUGCUUCCGUCUGUAUUAUUGGUCAUGUAAUGUUCGUUCCAUGUCGUUUUGGUUGCGCACUAAGGGGGCCGACUGGACAACGAUGGAGAAUGAAAGCUGUUACCCUCCUCAUUAGAAGCUAUGGUCUAUUCAGCCCUCCCUAUCCCUAAACAUGACUUUAAAAAUCCUGUAGUCUCUCAUACAAUUAAAAUCUGGACACAGAUAAGGAAACAUUUCGGGUGGAAGGAAGCUUCCAUACUAACUCCACUCAUGAAUAACGCAUCAUUCACACCAUCACUUUCAAACAUUUCAUUUCUCCAAUGGAACCACAAGGGGCUGCACUCAAUAAAGGAUUUAUUCAUCAACAAGGUUUUUCCCACAUUCCGGCAACUGCAAGAAAAAUUUGACUUGCACAGUAAUGACUUUUUCAAAUACUUACAGAUCAGAAGCUUUGUAAGGAGGCUUUUUCCAUCUUUUCCAGGUCGGCCCCCAGACUCUGCCUUAGAUAACUUAUUUCAGUUUGAUCCACUCAAGAAAGGACUAAUAACUUUGUCACAGCUGGAUGGAACUGUCACACUUGACUAUCUGAAAGAGGCCUGGCAGCGUGACCUUGGUACGAGAAUUACAGACAAUCAAUGGACAAAAGCCAAGGAAAAUGUACACUCUUCCUCUGUUUGCAUUCGUCAUGGACUCUUACAGUUUAAAGUGCUACAUAGACUCCAUUUAUCAAAGUUGAAACUGUCAAAAAUGUUCCCCGAUGUAAACUCAUCCUGCGAAAGAUGUAAACAGCAACCUGCUUCACUGGCGCAUAUGUUUUGGACUUGUCCCUGUAUAACAACAUAUUGGAAUAAUGUCUUUCAUAUCUUGUCUAAAAUUCUAAAAAAACCACUUAAGCCAGACCCAAUCUGUGCUUUAUUUGGAGUGAAGCCGGUUGUUGUAGACCUAUCAGCCACCCAAAAUAAUGUGAUACGUUUUGUGACGCUGCUGGCACGCCGUUUGAUUCUACUAAAUUGGAAACAAAGGGUGCCUCCUACCACAUCAGCGUUAAUACAAGAUGUAUUGAGACACUUGCAGCUGGAAAGAAUUAAAUUCCUACUAAAGGGGAGGUUGGAGGAAUUCCAUUCAACCUGGCAACCUUUUAUAGAUUUCUUCAAUACUGUACAGAUAUAAAUGGUCACUGAGCCUCAUUGGUAGUUCGAUAAAUAGCAUCCUCUGUCCAACGUUGUUUGUUGUUGCCUUUUUUUUUUUGUUGUUGUUGUUGUUGUUUUGUUUUUACUUUGUUUAAUUCCUAUUGUAUAUAUGCAAUCAUUUAUAUUUGAAUCUUAGUUGCCUUUAUGAUAAAGAACACUGGAAAACCAAAUAAAGAGAUUUGAGAAAAAAAAAAAAUUUUGAAGCAACACUUUUAAACUAAAGCUUAAACAUAUUAAGUUGAAAUGAAUAAUUGUAGUUGUUACACAAACAUGAAAAAAAUGGAGUAAAUAACACUGACAUGCUUGGUCAUGUAACUGAAAUAUAGAUGGUCAGUUAAUCCAAAAUGUUGUUCCAUUUACUUAAUAUUGUAAACUUAACAUAAUCAAAAUUGUAAUUAAUAUUAAAUAUGAUAAAUGACCUGUAUUUGUACAGCACUUUUCCUAGUCCCUAUGGACCCCAAAGCGCUUUACACUACAUUCAGUCAUCCACCCAUUCACACAGUGGUGAUGGCAGCUACAUUGCAGCCACAGCUGCCCUGGGGUGCAUUGACAGAGUAGGCCUGUUGGUGACCGAGACUGUCGGAGCUGGGGCUCGAACCUGCAACCUUCCGAUUACAAGAAGAACUGCCAACUCUUGAGCCACGAUCGCCGCCUAACAUUCAAAUAUGAAUGUUAUUGUAUUUCACUGGUAGUCUAAGUCUACAAAACCAAACAAACUAAUAUGUAGUUGAGUGUUUCAUAAUACAUGUAUGAAAAAUGACCACAUGUUAACAUUUUUCCAAAUGAAAAUGUAAUUUUCAUAAACAUGGAGAUAACUCGAAAUAAACAAG